AACGAACGCUGGCGGCAGGCUUAACACAUGCAAGUCGAACGCAUCCUUCGGGGUGAGUGGCAGACGGGUGAGUAACGCGUGGGAACGUGCCCUUCAGUUCGGGAUAACCCAGGGAAACUUGGGCUAAUACCGGAUACGUGCGAGAGCAGAAAGAUUUAUCGCUGAAGGAUCGGCCCGCGUCUGAUUAGCUAGUUGGUGGGGUAAUGGCCCACCAAGGCGACGAUCAGUAGCUGGUCUGAGAGGAUGAUCAGCCACAUUGGGACUGAGACACGGCCCAAACUCCUACGGGAGGCAGCAGUGGGGAAUAUUGAACGAUGGGCGCAAGCCUGAUCCAGCCAUGCCGCGUGAGUGAUGAAGGCCUUAGGGUUGUAAAGCUCUUUCGUCCGGGACGAUAAUGACGGUACCGGAAGAAGAAGCCCCGGCUAACUUCGUGCCAGCCGCCGCCGUAAUAC
rnacentral:rRNA from 1 species